rnacentral:rRNA from 1 species
CAAUAGCGUAUAUUAAAGUUGUUGCGGUUAAAAAGCUCGUAGUUGGAUCUCGGCAGGCAGGGGGUGGUUCGCUCUUAGCGCUACUGCCCCAUUUGCCUGUGUGAUUGGCGGAGGUUUCGGGGUGCUCUUCGUUGAGUGACCCGGGGCGCCGUCAGGUUUACUUUGAAAAAAUUAGAGUGCUCAAAGCAGGCUUUUCACGCUUGAAUAUUCGUGCAUGGAAUAAUGGAAUAGGAACUCGUUUCUAUUUUGUUGGUUUUCGGAAAUCGAGUUAAUGAUUAAUAGGGACAAUUGGGGGCAUUAGUAUUCAGACGACAGAGGUGAAAUUCUUGGACCGUCUGAAGACUAACUACUGCGAAAGCAUUUGCCAAGGAUGUUUUCAUUGA